CCCUUAGAUGUUCUGGGCCGCACGCGCGCUACACUGAUGCAUUCAACGAGCACUCGCUUGGCCGAGAGGUCAGGCUAAUCUUUGAACGUGCAUCGUGCUGGGGAUAGAUGAUUGCAAUUAUUCAUCUUCAACGAGGAAUUCCUAGUAAACGCAAGUCAUCAGCUUGCAUUGAUUACGUCCCUGCCCUUUGUACACACCGCCCGUCGCUACUACUGAUUGGAUGUUUAAGCGAGGUUCUCGAACUGCUAGCGACAUAGCUUCGGUGAGGUCGCAGUGUGGGAAGUGAACCUAGCUUUGGUGUCUAGAGGAAGUAAAAGUCGUAACA
rnacentral:rRNA from 1 species